UACGUAGGGGGCAAGCGUUGUCCGGAUUUAUUGGGCGUAAAGAGCGUGUAGGCGGUCAGGUAGGUCCGUUGUGAAAACUCGAGGCUCAACCUCGAGACGCCGAUGGAAACCAUCUGACUAGAGUCCGGAAGAGGAGAGUGGAAUUCCUGGUGUAGCGGUGAAAUGCGUAGAUAUCAAGAGGAACACCUGAGGUGAAGACGGGUUGCUGGGCUGACACUGACGCUGAGGCGCGAAAGCCAGGGGAGCAAACGGG
rnacentral:rRNA from 1 species